rnacentral:misc_RNA from 1 species
AAGUCGUAACAAGGUUUCCGUAGGUGAACCUGCGGAAGGAUCAUUAACACGUAUCCAAACGUUAAAACCCCCCCCGUGAUCAUUGAUUGUGCAAGGAUAGCGCUUCUACGAUUCCUGUAGACCGUACACUCGGGCAGGAGCUUUGCCAAAGGGUCCCCAUGCCCCCUAAUAACCCCACAGUUUAAUGUGAAGCUCAAUGUAAUACAUUGGGUAAAAAAACCGAACAACUGUUAACAAUGGAUAUCUUGGUUCUC